AGUGAACGCUGGCGGUAGGCCUAACGCAUGCAAGUCGAACGGCAGCACAGUAAGAGCUUGCUCUUACGGGUGGCGAGUGGCGGACGGGUGAGGAAUACAUCGGAAUCUACUUUUUCGUGGGGGAUAACGUAGGGAAACUCACGCUAAUACCGCAUACGACCUACGGGUGAAAGCAGGGGAUCUUCGGACCUUGCGCGAUUGAAUGAGCCGAUGUCGGAUUAGCUAGUUGGCGGGGUAAAGGCCCACCAAGGCGACGAUCCGUAGCUGGUCUGAGAGGAUGAUCAGCCACACUGGAACUGAGACACGGUCCAGACUCCUACGGGAGGCAGCAGUGGGGAAUAUUGGACAAUGGGCGCAAGCCUGAUCCAGCCAUACCGCGUGGGUGAAGAAGGCCUUCGGGUCGUAAAGCCCUUUUGUUGGGAAAGAAAAGCAGCAGGUUAAUACCCCGCUGUUCUGACGGUACCCAAAGAAUAAGCACCGGCUAACUUCGUG
rnacentral:rRNA from 1 species